GACGAACGCUGGCGGCGUGCUUAACACAUGCAAGUCGAACGGAAAGGCCCUGCUUUUGUGGGGUGCUCGAGUGGCGAACGGGUGAGUAACACGUGAGUAACCUGCCCUUGACUUUGGGAUAACUUCAGGAAACUGGGGCUAAUACCGGAUAGGAGCUCCUGCUGCAUGGUGUGGGUUGGAAAGUUUCGGCGGUUGGGGAUGGACUCGCGGCUUAUCAGCUUGUUGGUGGGGUAGUGGCUUACCAAGGCUUUGACGGGUAGCCGGCCUGAGAGGGUGGCCGGCCCAAUUGGGACUGAGAGAAGGCCCAGACUCCUACGGGAGGCAGCAGGGGGGAAUAUUGCACAAUGGGCGGAAGCCUGAUGCAGCAACGCCGCGUGCGGGAUGACGGCCUUCGGGUUGUAAACCGCUUUCGCCUGUGACGAAGCGUGAGUGACGGUAAUGGGUAAAGAAGCACCGGCUAACUACGUG
rnacentral:rRNA from 1 species